rnacentral:rRNA from 1 species
UACGUAGGUGGCAAGCGUUGUCCGGAUUUAUUGGGUUUAAAGGGUGCGUAGGCGGCUUAUUAAGUCAGGGGUGAAAUACUCUAGCUCAACUAGAGGGGUGCCAUUGAUACUGAUGAGCUUGAGUGCAGAUGAGGUAGGCGGAAUUGACGGUGUAGCGGUGAAAUGCUUAGAUAUCGUCAAGAACACCUAUAGCGAAGGCAGCUUACUGGGCUGUAACUGACGCUGAGGCACGAAAGUGUGGGGAUCGAACAGG